UAGCUUUAUUGAGUUCUUUGUAUAUGUACCACAUGCUGAGAUAAAUGCUAUACAUGGAUUAUGUCAUUUAAUGCUCACAAUGACCACGUGGAAUAGGGUAUUUAUUCAAUUUGUAAAGAAUAUUGAGGCUUAGUUUGAUUGUAAUUAUGUAAUUCAUCUUAUUAUUCACAGCUUAAAAACAAAACAGAUCUAUGGUGUCAUAGCCAAAUAAUUAGAAAUACUUACAUUUUUCUAAAUCCAUUGAGCAAAACCAUGUUUAUGUAAUUCAUCUUAUUAUUCACAGCUUAAAAACAAAACAGAUCUAUGGUGUCAUAGCCAAAUAAUUAGAAAUACUUACAUUUUUCUGAAUCCAUUGAGCAAAACCAUGUUUUGGGAAAAUCAUAUUAAUGUCACCCCAUGUCUUUAAGGUCAGAUAUUUGAGGAUUAUUAACUGUAGUCCCUCAGAAUCAAAAAUACAAGUAUUGGGAUAUUUCAAGAACAGGGGAAAGAUAGAUGAGCAGGACAUUGGUUUGUGGAAAGUUCAAUGGUUUAACCUUUCUUCAAGGCGUGACCUCUAGAAACACAGAGUAUUGGGUGGUCAGGAGAUGGGACUCUGUGUUCCUUGGCAGAAACCAUUUUAUAGGAAAAGAACACUGGGAAGCAAUGAAAACACUGGUCAGAAUCCAAAGAGAAAUGGCCAGGAAGGGAUCUUGAAUUAAUGGAAGAACCACUAAAUCAGAGAAGCCAACGUUGGGAUAGACAAAAUACCAGUUCUAUAGACGGCAGAGGUAAGACCAAUGGGAGUCUCUGAGUGAAGACACAGUUAUCCACUUAUAUAAACUUAAAUUCCAUAACCUUCGAUUUGAGUAUUUUUCCAGUUGUAAUUUAAGACCAUUUGGUUUAGAUUCAAAACAAUUUACCCCUUUGAAUAUGCGUUCCAUAAUCAGUUCACUUUACCCCAGUUAUCUGAAUUUAUUCUAACGCUUUUCUAAAGGCAACACUUUGUGUCUUGCAAGUGCAGAUUAGUUAGAAAUGUUGAGCUAGUAAUAGAGAUGUAGGCCAAAAUGAUUAUAAGCAUGGGGAGUCGUGACACAAAUUUUGCUUUACUAUACCACAGCAAUGGCUGAAGUAUGUUCAGAAAUUUGACUGGCUUGCAAUGUCAGGAAUGUGGUAUGUUAUUCUUAACUUUACCAUUUUAUCUUCUGGUGUUUGGGGGAAAAUGAAUUACAUGAGAUGCAUGUAGUUGGGUCUCUGGAACGAUGAGAAUACUGAAGGAAGAAGAGGACUGAAGACGAAAGCUGUCAGAGUUGCAGGACUGCAUCUGCAACAGUAUUUCUGGAUACCAAGUAGUGAGGUGCUUCUGAUUUUGAUUUUGAUAGCAUUUGGGACUGUUCAGACACUGUAAAUCUCUUGAAAGGUGAGAAAACUGAUGAAUGGUGGUUAAGAUUUUUAUGAUGGUGUUAAAUUAAUACAUCUGUGAAUGAAUGAAUGAACAGGGUGGAAGGAACAGUCUUUGAUGCAGUAGAAAGCCAAGUAAUAAGAAUAAAAGGAAUGAUAGGGUAUAAAAAAAAUCAACAUUUAACAAUAAUCAUAACUUUCAGGCAGUAAUUAUCAAAUAAUGCUAAAAGUUGUUAGACAAAAUUUAGGAGAAACAGGAUACUUACACAGCCUGUAUUUAUCCACUCCACAAGAUAAAUAGUAAGUUCAUAGUAGAAAGGAUUACUAUUUUCAGAUUAAAGAAGUCAGGAAUUAAACAAAUGAAGAAUUGAAAUGACAAAGGUGACAAAUGAUCAAGCAACUGUGAUUUGUGUUACAAGGUAGUGCUGGAAUGCCUGUAUGAUUGUUGUGCUUUGCUUUUAAUUAAUUAUGCAUAUGUUCUGAUCUUUUUUCUUUGUGAUACUUUCUGCAGGACAAAGGCUAGAACAUUGUCCCAAACAGAGAAGGACUGGAAUGAAGUCCUCCAGAGAAUAAGGAGCCCACUGACUUGAUGGCAUGGACCAGGGAAGUGGCUCCCCAGCCACGUAGCACUGCACAGCUCAUCUAGAAGGAGCAGAGAUGGUAAACAGCACCAGGUGUUCAGGAGAAAAGAAGGGAAGGAUGGUAGAGAGAGACUGAGAAAAGAAUAAAUAAAUAAAUAAAAAUCCCCGAUGGAGCCCACUGGCUUGGCAAUGCAGACCAGGAAGUGCCUCCCAAACUGAGCAGUGCUACACAGCCCGUCUAGAAGAAGCGGAGAUGGCACAUGUUGCCAGGUAUUCAGGAGACAGGUAAAGAAGGCAGGUAGAGAGAGAUGAGAAACUGAGAAACGAAGAAAAACAAAAAGGAAAAAAUAAAAAGAAAAAAAAAUUGUCCCCACUGGCGUGGCAGGGCAGACUGGGGAAAUUUUUCGCCAGCCAAGCAGCGCUUCAUAGUCUGUCAAGAAGGAGCUGAGAUGGCACACGGAUCCAGGUGUUCUAGAGGAAGAGAAGGAAGCAGAUGAAAGAAAGAAACCAAAAGAAGUAGAAAAAAGCAACAACAGCAACAAAAAAGGCACUGAAGGAGCCAGCCAGUGUGUGCGGGGCGAACCCAAGCAGCAAGGAACUGGUAUUUCCCUGGAGGAACAACUGAGAUCUGCAGGUCGUUUCUUUUAGUGGUUGUGCUUUAGUAAGUUCAAGGGUUUUUCUGGGCUGACCAAGAAGAUACAGGGCCAGAAGAUGGCUGUGUUGCAAAACAAGCUCUUUAUUGGAUUUACUCUUGUACAGGUAUGGGUGAGAGGGGAUGUCCCUCACAGAUGCAACCUUCCAGAGACAGUGGCAAGGGGUACCUAGAAGUGAAAAGGGUCAGGGAACUCCCAGGGAAGAGAGGAAUCUGAGAUGGGGAUUACAUAUUUAGGUAAUGCCACUCAAAGCAAGGUUGGGUGUCUCCAGGUCAGAGAGCUCCAUAGGACAUCAACAACUUGCAGUCUUUUGUAGUCCCAGGGUUUAUCUCAUCUAUGGCUAUCAGAUGUCGUGUAUAGUUUUGUAGGGUAUAUAAAGCACGAAGGCUCUAAAUGGGUAAAAAUCUUAUUUGGGCUACAUUAAAAUCAUUAAAUGUAAAAAAUUUUGAGCACCAGUAGGUUUUUGAGAUAAUGGGCCCCAACCAGCUUUGAAGAAGUAAACAGCAUAGGUCAAAUAUAGAAAGGCUAUCUCUGAUUUGUUUCUAUAGCACUUGCCUUGGGGGUUAUAAUUAAUUUAAAUAGUAUACAAAAACAUUGCUCCAAUAUAACUCCAUUCCCUCUGCCCUCCUUUGUUCUAUUAAUUGCCUUUCCAGUGGCAUGUUUAUACAUAUAAGUACUUCAACAAUUUUAGUAUUGCAUUGAUGCUCGUUAUUCAUAGAUUCUUUAUUUAUGAAUCUUCUACUUGUUAAAAUUGAUUUUUAAUCCCAAAGUCAAUACUCUUUGUGCUUUCUUGGACAUUCACAGCCAUAUGCAGAGGAACAGAAAUUUUGAGGUACCAGUGCUCAUGUUCAUAGCUAAGACUGAACAAGGUGAUGCUCUGCCUUACAGUUUAAGCUCUUACUGUAAAAAGUGUCCUUUUAAUGUUGUAUUUAGUGCCACAGUUUUAACUGUUUAAAAUUUCCUGAAAAUGUAGUAUUGAGUGGUGGUUUUAAGUGUAAGAAACCUGUGAUGUACCUCAAAGAGAAAACACAUGUGUUAGAUAAAGUUCAUUUAUGCAUGCUGCUGUCAGCUAAGAUGAAAAAUGGGUUUGUGCUGGUCUCUAGCUCUCAGUAAGUAACUGCAAUUUACCCAGUUGUGUUUUAACAAGCUUUAUUUACUAACACAGUGAUUAGGAUGAAGAUUAGGUAAGAUUCAUCAUGGGGUCAGUCUCCUUCAGACCCUCACUCCAGGGUGAGUUGACCUAUGAAAUCUCUAAACAUGUAUGGCCUCUAGAUACACUGUAGGUGAAAGAUGAAGGGACAAAGGAGUCUAGGGGUUUUAUACCUCAGAAUGCAAUGGAAAAGAUAGAGGGGUUUAGAGGAAGGGGCCAUUGUUCAAUUGAACCUUACCUGACCACCUUUUUACCAUCCUGUGACCAAAAAGUUGUCUUUGUUCAAAUUCAAACAGCAUAGCAAUCCUGUGACCAUGUGUGCGUGACCAGAAAAAACAUUCCUUCCCCUCUAACUAAAAGAUUAACUUUGUAAGCCUGCGUUUUCUGAUGUGAUGAUACAGCAGCUUACAACUCACAAGGAGAAUCUAACUUCCCUGGGCUAAAUACUUAGUACAAUCAGGUAGUCAUGGAGACAGUAGGAGUGAAACUCAAGCUAGGAAAAUGGCUGCUUUCCUCUGCAUCAGUUAUAAUUCUAUUGGCCAUAAUUUCAAUGUUCGUUCGUAGGGAACUGACUGUAUUUCCCAUAGAAGUGUUGAUAUAUUAUUAGCUAAUUCAGUGCUUGCAGUAACUUUAGAAAAUGUAACUGUUAAAAAUAACUAGAAUCAACUGUACAAUUUAUGCAGUUUUUUUUUAAUCUGAUACGAGAAGAAAGGAUUUAUAACAAAUAGUGCAUUUAUACUAUCUUUGAGAUUUGCCUAAAAAUUAGUUUUCUGGUAUUCUUUAUUUCUUCAUGUGGAUUCAAAUUACUGUCUAGGGUUCUUUUAUUUAAUUCCAAAAGACUCCAUUUGGUGUUUCUUGUAGGUUAUAUCUGUUGGCGACAGAUUCUCUUUUUGUUUAUUUUUAGUGUCUUCAUUUCUUCAUUCUAUUUUAUU